rnacentral:lncRNA from 1 species
CGAAGCUGGACUGCCCUCCUCAUCACCAUGAAGAUACCAAAAUAAGCUCUCAACAGAGAAGACCUUGAUGCUUUUCAAAUGGUAAAUUUGAAAUAAAUUUUUUUAUUAAAAUAAAAAUCCCACCUAAACUUGAUACAAGACUUUCAGCCAACUAUUAAACAGUUGUAAAUGCACAAUUCAAAGAGAAAAGCCUCAGAAGUAGAAAAUAGCUGGCAAAUGUUCUGUAGCUAUUGGCAUGUGAGUAAACUUACUCUCCCUUUCUUUAAAAACGGGGUCAUGAUUUGUUCUGGUCUGUGGCUUAGAUAUAGCAGAAAGGGUGUUGGUUGACUGUGAGAAUCCAGUACACUGAGACAUUGUCAGGGUGAAAAAGUCUGCAAACUGAAGACCAUCCCAGGCUGGUUGAUGUGGGGGCGUUAAGGUUUUUGCCUUUUAGUGACCCUGGAGGACUCUACCCACUUAGAGUAAGAUAGACCUUCGGCAAUGGGGAAAUGGCUACCUGCACUUUCAAGUUUCCCAGAAGCUAACUCAGGCUUCUACUCCUGGCAUACUCAGCAAAAAUGUGGAGCAACUCUCAGGACUCACAGCAGAUUGCCUCCCUCAACAGUGGCAAUACGUCCUGAUCUGCGUGGCACAGUCCUAGAUUAUCAUUAUUGCCCGAGCAUAAUUAUUAAUGUGGUCCCCUUACAUUCUCAAGAGCAGGGUGGACUCAGAAUUUGUGAAACCUGAAGAUUAUAUAAUUGAGGAAACUCUGAGAAAAUAAAACGCAAUUUUGAAUACAAAAUGAUAUGCAAAAGUAAAUACAUAUGGGAGCAAAUGAAAAUUGAAGCUAGAUUGCAUAUCCUUCUCUUAAAUGAUAAUUUAUAUACUCACCGUAUUUGAGGACACUCAUCACGUGUCCAACACUGUGCUAAGCAUUUUGUGUAUGUUAUUUUAUCCUCAUAACAACUUAUGGGCAAGUAUUUUGAUUCCCAUUUUUAAAAAAAUAAAAUGAUGAAAUUGAGGCUCAAGACUUGGAGAUGAAAGCUACCCAGCUAGGCAGCAAUGGAAAUGGCAGCAGAAGUCUAGGUGCAUGACCAUGGUCUUAUCCACUAUGCACUGAGGAGGGUUGAAUGUGGGCAGGGUGAGUGGAAGAAAGAAAGAAAACAGUGACAGAGAAGGGGACAGCUGUAAAAGACAUUGAAAAAGAGGAAUUGAGAGAAUUGGGAGCAAGCUAGGCUUAAGAGGGAAGAAAAGAUUGGCAGGGUUUACUCUGAGGUUUUGAGCUUGUGGGACUACAGAACAAUGAUAACUUUGACAGAAAUAAAAAAGUCCAGAGAGGGAGAAAUUGGGGGCAGGAGCGGGGAGAAGGGAUUGAGCUCAAUUUCAAACAUGCCCAGUUUGGACCUCAUAAUCCCAGGAGUAAUAGCCAGGGAGACCACAGUGCCAGCAGUCCAAUAACCCACGGGCAGAGAUGCAGAGGAAAAGUCAAGUGUUGCAACAGACAAAGGAGAAGCUGGAAGGAAGUGAGAAACAUCAGGUUUAAAUUUUCCCAGGCUUGAAUUUUGAGAACUUUUUCUUACAAGAAGCCAUUUCAAUCAUGCAUGCUUACUGAUGGUGGGGUGUGAAUUGUAUUUGCUCACCACUGCCUGGUUCAAUUUAGUCUUCGGAGAUUAAAUAUUAUUCCCCC